GGUGGCGAGAUGUGCAAAUGGCUCAGUUAGUAAAAAAGUGUGAAUAGGUUUAGAAUUGCUUACAUAGUCAAAAAGUGUGAAUAGGUUUAGAAUUGCUUACAUAGUCAAAAAGUGUGAAUAGGUUCAGUGACUUAAUAUUUUUGGUACUUAUAGUGAACCACUGAGUCGUCUGGUUUUAAAUAGGCAGAUUAAAGAACAAUUUAAAAAAAACACAUUUUGUGAUAAGGAUUUUACAGAAUCGCCGUUAACGCUAAUUUUCUCACAAAAUCACAACUUCCGUGACAUUCUUUCUCAGAAAAAAAAACAAAUAUACCGGUU
rnacentral:lncRNA from 1 species